rnacentral:rRNA from 1 species
AUUGAACGCUGGCGGCAUGCUUUACACAUGCAAGUCGGACGGCAGCACAGAGAAGCUUGCUUCUUGGGUGGCGAGUGGCGAACGGGUGAGUAAUAUAUCGGAACGUACCGAGUAAUGGGGGAUAACUAAUCGAAAGAUUAGCUAAUACCGCAUAUUCUCUGAGGAGGAAAGCAGGGGACCUUCGGGCCUUGCGUUAUUCGAGCGGCCGAUAUCUGAUUAGCUAGUUGGUGGGGUAAAGGCCUACCAAGGCGACGAUCAGUAGCGGGUCUGAGAGGAUGAUCCGCCACACUGGGACUGAGACACGGCCCAGACUCCUACGGGAGGCAGCAGUGGGGAAUUUUGGACAAUGGGCGCAAGCCUGAUCUAGCCAUGCCGCGUGUCUGAAGAGGGCCUUCGGGUUGUAAAGGACUUUUGUCAGGGAAGAAAAGGCUGUUGCUAAUACCGACAGCUGAUGACGGUACCUGAAGAAUAAGCACCGGCUAACUACGUG